rnacentral:lncRNA from 1 species
AUAGAAAUAUUAAUUAAAUUCUAAAUAAAAAUCUAAUCAAAUUCUAAUCAAACCUUAAUCAAAUCCUAAGCAAAUCCUAAAUAAAUCUUAGUCAAAUUCUAACAAAUCCUAACCAAAUCCUAAUCAAAUCCUAACCAAAUCCUAAUCAAAUCCUAAAUAAAUCUUAACCAAAUGCUAAACAAAUCUUAACCAAAUCAUAAUCAAAUCUUAAAUAAAUCUUAACCAAACUCUAGUCAAAUCCUAACCAAAUCCUAAACAAACCUUAAUCAAAUCCUAAAUAAAUCCUAAUAAAAUCCUAACAAAUCCUAACCAAACUCUAAUAAAAUUCUAAAAAAAUCCUAAAUAAAUCCUAAAUAAAUCCUAACCAAAUCCUAAUCAAUCCUAACCAAAUCCUAAUCAAUCCUAAUCAAAUCUUAAAUAAUCCUAACUAAACUCUAAUUGAUCC